CCUACGGGUGGCAGCAGUGGGGACUUUUGCGCAAUGGGGGCAACCCUGACGCAGCAACGCCGCGUGCGGGACGCAUGCCCUCGGGCUGUAAACCGCUUUCAGCAGGGGAGUCGUCGACGGUACCUGCAGAAGAAGCUCCGGCUAACUCCGUGCCAGCAGCCGCGGUAAUACGUGGGGGGCGAGCGUUAUCCGGAUUCAUGGGGCGUAAGGCGCGCGUAGGCGGCCGCCUAAGCAGAACCUCUAACCCUGGGGCUCAACCUCGGGCCGGGUUCCGGACUGGGCGGCUCGAGUGCGGUAGAGGAGAGCGGAAUUCCCGGUGUAGCGGUGGAAUGCGCAGAUAUCGGGAAGAACACCGAUGGCGAAGGCAGCUCACUGGGCCGUCACUGACGCUGAGGCGCGAAAGCGGGGGUAGCGAACAGGAUUAGAUACCCUGGUAGUC
rnacentral:rRNA from 1 species